GACGAACGCUGGCGGCGUGCUUAACACAUGCGAGUCGAACGGAAAGGCCCUGCUUUUGUGGGGUGCUCGAGUGGCGAACGGGUGAGUAACACGUGAGUAACCUGCCCUUGACUUUGGCAUAACUUCAGGAAACUGGGGCUAAUACCGGAUAGGAGCUCCUGCUGCAUGGUGGGGGUUGGAAAGUUUCGGCGGUUGGGGAUGGACUCGCGGCUUAUCAGCUUGUUGGUGGGGUAGUGGCUUACCAAGGCUUUGACGGGUAGCCGGCCUGAGAGGGUGACCGGCCACAUUGGGACUGAGAUACGGCCCAGACUCCUACGGGAGGCAGCAGUGGGGAAUAUUGCACAAUGGGCGGAAGCCUGAUGCAGCAACGCCGCGUGCGGGAUGACGGCCUUCGGGUUGUAAACCGCUUUCGCCUGUGACGAAGCGUGAGUGACGGUAAUGGGUAAAGAAGCACCGGCUAACUACGUG
rnacentral:rRNA from 1 species